UACGUAGGGGGCGAGCGUUGUCCGGAUUUAUUGGGCGUAAAGAGCUCGUAGGCGGCUUGGCAAGUCGGGUGUGAAACCUCCAGGCUCAACCUGGAGACGCCACUCGAUACUGCUAUGGCUAGAGUCCGGUAGGGGACCACGGAAUUCCUGGUGGUAGCGGUGAAAUGCGCAGAUAUCAGGAGGAACACCGGUGGCGAAGGCGGUCGUCUGGGCCCGGA
rnacentral:rRNA from 1 species